rnacentral:rRNA from 1 species
UGGCUCAGGACGAACGCUGGCGGCGUGCCUAACACAUGCAAGUCGAGCGAGGAGAUCCUCGGGAUGAUCCUAGCGGCGGACGGGUGAGUAACACGUGGGCAACCUGCCUCAUAGAGAGGAAUAGCCUUCCGAAAGGGAGAUUAAUACCUCAUAACAUUGCAGUUUCGCAUGGAACAGCAAUUAAAGGAGCAAUCCGCUAUGAGAUGGGCCCGCGGCGCAUUAGCUAGUUGGUGAGGUAACGGCUCACCAAGGCGACGAUGCGUAGCCGACCUGAGAGGGUGAUCGGCCACAUUGGGACUGAGACACGGCCCAGACUCCUACGGGAGGCAGCAGUGGGGAAUAUUGCACAAUGGGGGAAACCCUGAUGCAGCAACGCCGCGUGAGUGAUGACGGCCUUCGGGUUGUAAAGCUCUGUCUUCAGGGACGAUAAUGACGGUACCUGAGGAGGAAGCCACGGCUAACUACGUGCCAGCCGCGGC